ACAAAAAGAAAAGAAAAGAAAACUAUUGACCUAGUUUAGUGUUUUUCAACUUGGGGGCGUCUGUGGUUGUCUUAGGAGCUGAGGGGUGAUUCUGUGGGCAGGGCCAGAGAUAUUAAAUACCCUGCUGUUGGCCAGCAGUGCUGCAGCUGGCAAAUACCAAUGGCGUGCAACCAUUUUCUUGUCUAGAUGGGGAGACCCAGGCUAAGUGGGAAAUGCGAGACAGUACCUUGACUGUCUCACAGGCCUCUUGCCUCCUGAUUCCAGUGUGAUGGGGUGGGGCCUGGCCAGGCAGGGCAGGCAGCAGGGAAGAGACCCCUGGGACUGUUGGCCAACAAGCGGUCUGGCCCCCUUGCAGGAACACCAGACUGUUGUCUACCAGAUGAUCCAGCAGAUCCAGCAGAAACGGGAGCUGCAGCGCCUGCAGAUGGCUGGGGGCUCCCAGCUGCCCAUGGCCAGCCUGCUGGCAGGAAGCUCCACCCCGCUGCUGUCUGCGGGUACCCCUGGCCUGCUGCCCACAGCGUCUGCUCCACCCCUGCUGCCCGCUGGAGCCCUAGUGGCUCCCUCGCUUGGCAACAACACAAGUCUCAUGGCCGCAGCAGCUGCAGCUGCAGCAGUGGCAGCAGCAGGCGGACCUCCAGUCCUCACUGCCCAGACCAACCCCUUCCUCAGCCUGUCGGGAGCAGACGGCAGUGGCGGUGGCCCCAAAGGAGGGGUGAGUAAGGGGCCCGGGGCCUUCCUGCCUCCCCUCUGAGGGAUGGGUAGAGAUGGAUUGUCAGAAGGCUUAUCAUCAGGUACCUCAGCAGGGGGAAGGAAGCAACCCCUAGGUCAGCAAAGUACCCUGCCUCAGACCCCAGGGCCUCUGCUUGCACAUGGGUGCCCUCUUGCAGGGCCAAGAAAGAUCCGAUCUGAGCAUGGGCUCAGAGGAAAAGGACCAAUUAGAAAACAGCCUUCCUCCAGGAGGACCAAUUAGAAAAAGCCAUUUUGUUUCUCAUCCGACCAAUUAGAAAAAGAUGACCCUCUGGGUAGGCCAAUGUCAGAAAGGCCCUCUCUCCUUCUCCUGAGGGCACACGGCCUUAGCUUGCACAUGCCCACGCAGCCCGGUGCUCUUCUGCAGGGUGGUUUCACACCCCUGCGCAUCGGCCCUGGUGCGCACCCCUCAGAGCCCAGGCCAGAGGCUUCCAUUGGCCCCGUUUCAGCACCCCACAGCAGCUUUCUUGGACUAGGAAGCUGUUCUUAUCUGGGGGUUAGGACCUGACACUUUCCACACCCCUGGCCUCCCUCCCUCUCUUUCCAGACCGCUGACAAAGGAGCCUCAGCCAACCAGGAAAAAGGCUAAAUCCACCCUUACCCCUCCUGACCCCCCAAGUGGAGGGAACAGAUCCUGGUCUGAGGGGUCCUAGCCUGGAGCAGGCGCCUGCGCCCAGACCCUGGAGAGCCUUGACCCAGAGCCUGUGCUGAGGUCCAGGGAGUGUGGAGAGCUCCUGGUGUCGAGGACUGAGACUGAGAGGGGAGCCCCCUCCAUCUGGCCCCCUUCCCUUUCCGCACUGUCCGCUUUGUGAGGCUCAGAGGAAGGACAGUCUGCAAGCCCGCCUAGGAGGUCCAUCCCCAGCAAAUAUUUUGGAGGUCCCCCCAGAGAGCAGAGUGGGCCAUGGCAGAAGUAGGGGGUUGGUUGGACCUGUCACAUGAAAUGGAUCAGCACUUGAAUGGGGAGAAGUGGAGGGAGAGGCCCUGGGCCUGUCCCUGCGGGGAAAUCUUUUAUGGGAGAAGGGCUGGACCCACUUUACCUGCAGUUUCUUCCCAGCUCGGGCAGAUGGCAGAAGGGACCCCUUGGACUUUUUCUCGCCAUCCCUCCCCCCAGCGCAGGGGCACAAGCUGAGCUUGAAAAGCCCACAGAUGUUGGGGGCUGGAGAAGGGGCAGGAGAGCAUCACACUCAGCCCCAGCCUCCUCAACCUCUUGGGGCCCCGUGAUGGGGAGGAGAGGGCAGGUGCGGGGAGGCUCCGGCCUUCCUUGGUGCCCCGCCCUUUGUUUGCACUAUUGGACUUAGGAGUGCCGAGGGUGGGGAGAUGGAGCUGCCCGACUCAGUGUGUGAGUGUGUGUGUGCGUGCAUGUGUGUGUGUGUGUGUGUGUAUGUGUCUGUCUGCCUGUCUCUCUCCUCCUGGACCCAGGGCAGCCAAGGGCAGGGAUAGGCGCAGUGGUCAGAUGAAGCAGCGCCAGAGAGGGGACCUCCCAGCUCUUAUUUGCACCCUCCCCACCUGACCAACUUUGGUCCCUCUCUGGGGGCAUGAAUGGUUAACAAACACCAGAGCAGUACUCCAAUAUUGGAGAGUGGCUGGGGGCACAGGGCUUUGAAUCAGGGUAGUAUCCUGCCUUCCCUCCCCUGACCCCACAUGGUCUCAGGGCCCCCUUAGGGCCCCCUACCCCACUGAUAGCUUCCUCCUUCUCUGGCACAAGGGGAGCCCCAGGGCUUGGGGGAGGGCGUAAGGUGGGGGGAAAUGCCACUGCUUUUAGCAAAAGCCUCCCUCCCAGAAUUAGCCAGCUUGCCUCCUGCACCCCACCCCCACCAACCAGGGGAGCCACUAAGCUGACUAACAACUGUCCCCUCACCCACCAGCUAUUUCCCCAGGGUAGAGUGGGCAAUUCUCACCUUCAAAGAGUCCCCGCCUGCCCAGGCCUUUGGCACAGAGGCUGAGUGGACAGUCAGGAGAGAGGCGAGAGGCAAGGCGAAGCCUGUGUCCCUGUUUCAGUUGCACUGGGGUUGGAGCCCAGGGUAGGGGUUUCCAGCUUCCCCAGGCUCCGGCCUUGUCAGUCUCUUUGCAUGUGUGGAUUUUUCUGUGUGUGUUUCUGUUUGGGUUUUUGUUGUUGGGUUUUUUUUUUUUUUUAAUAAAGAAAAGAAGAUGUGUAUAUUUUUGGCAAUGACAGAAA
rnacentral:sRNA from 1 species